rnacentral:rRNA from 1 species
AAAAAAUUUUUGGGGGGGAAAAAAUGCCGGGAUGGUAACCUUGGAACCAGGGUUAUCCGCCUAAAACCUAGCCCGCUGGGCAAGGUGAAAAGUGGUUUGGGUUACCCUUUAGGAUGGACCCGGGGGCCUUAGUUAGUUGGGAGGUAAAGGCUCACCAAGACCGGGAAGCAUAGCCGACCUGAGAGGGUAUCGGCCACCCUGGGACUGAGACCCGGCCCAGAUUCCUACGGGAGGCAGCAGUAGGGAAUCUUCCACAAUGGACGAAGUCUGAUGGAGCAACGCCGCGUGAGUGAAGAAGGUUUUCGGAUCGUAAAACUCUGUUGUUGGAGAAGAACGUAUUUGAUAGUAACUGAUCAGGUAGUGACGGUAUCCAACCAGAAAGCCACGGCUAACUACGUGCCAGCAGCCGCGGUAAUACGUAGGUGGCAAGCGUUGUCCGGAUUUAUUGGGCGUAAAGCGAGCGCAGGCGGUUUCUUAAGUCUGAUGUGAAAGCCUUCGGCUCAACCGAAGAAGUGCAUCGGAAACUGGGAAACUUGAGUGCAGAAGAGGACAGUGGAACUCCAUGUGUAGCGGUGAAAUGCGUAGAUAUAUGGAAGAACACCAGUGGCGAAGGCGGCUGUCUGGUCUGUAACUGACGCUGAGGCUCGAAAGCAUGGGUAGCAAACAGGAUUAGAUACCCUGGUAGUCCAUGCCGUAAACGAUGAGUGCUAGGUGUUGGAGGGUUUCCGCCCUUCAGUGCCGCAGCUAACGCAUUAAGCACUCCGCCUGGGGAGUACGACCGCAAGGUUGAAACUCAAAGGAAUUGACGGGGGCCCGCACAAGCGGUGGAGCAUGUGGUUUAAUUCGAAGCAACGCGAAGAACCUUACCAGGUCUUGACAUCCUUUGACCACUCUAGAGAUAGAGCUUUCCCUUCGGGGACAAAGUGACAGGUGGUGCAUGGUUGUCGUCAGCUCGUGUCGUGAGAUGUUGGGUUAAGUCCCGCAACGAGCGCAACCCUUAUUACUAGUUGCCAGCAUUUAGUUGGGCACUCUAGUGAGACUGCCGGUGACAAACCGGAGGAAGGUGGGGACGACGUCAAAUCAUCAUGCCCCUUAUGACCUGGGCUACACACGUGCUACAAUGGAUGGUACAACGAGUCGCGAGACCGCGAGGUUUAGCUAAUCUCUUAAAACCAUUCUCAGUUCGGAUUGUAGGCUGCAACUCGCCUACAUGAAGCCGGAAUCGCUAGUAAUCGCGGAUCAGCAUGCCGCGGUGAAUACGUUCCCGGGCCUUGUACACACCGCCCGUCACACCAUGAGAGUUUGUAACACCCAAAGCCGGUGAGGUAACCUUCGGGAGCCAGCCGUCUAAGGUGGGACAGAUUUGAUUAGGGGGAAAGUCGUAACCAAGUGUGUAACGU